UAUUUUGUGCUUUAUUUAUUAUUUAACAAUGGUUAAAGUGUGUGUGGUGCGAAGUUGAUUGAAUAGCUGAUGGAAAAAUAAAGAACAAAGGCAAAGCCUGUAAAAUACAUAUAAUUAUAAUUCAGUAUUGUAUUAUUUGUAUUAUAUGUAAAAAUUAGAGUCAAUCAAAAGUGUAGUAAACAUUUUUCGUAAGAUUAUUGACAUACAUGUUACAAAGUAUAUUUUUACAAUCCUUUCUAUAAAGUUACAACCUGAAUAAAAUUUAUUUUUAAUGAUUUUAAAGUUUGACAGACAUGCACAAAUUGUUGGCAUUUUUUUAAACAAAUAAAAGUAGGAAAUAAAUAAAGUUGUAGGUACUUUCAAGAAAUAUAGUUAACUGUAAGUGCUGUAUUUUAAUAAUCUAUCAAAAAUCAAAAUCAUCAGGAUAAUAUUAGGUAUUGAUUUUCAAGAAUUAGAUUACAGCGAUGGUCAAAAGCAUUUAGAUAUUGCUUUGAAAUCUACAGAUAAGGUAUGGCAGUUUCGUUUUAAAGAACAAGAUGUUAAAGUUUAUGAUAAAAUUGUCAUCAGAAAUACUGUCCACUUGCAGUAUUUACAUAGGAAAAUGUUGGAGGAUGAAGCUGUACCUACUGCCUCAGGUUAAUUUAAAUUCUGCAAGAGUUGCAACAACAGCAACAAGCAAGAAGGGCACCAUUAAAUGAAUAUUAUACACAUAAAGCAACAACAGAAUAAAAAACCAAAAUAUGAACACCAGCAACUAAAACAGGAACCAUUAAAUGAAUAUUAUAUACAGAUCAACAUUUUGUAGAGCAAUAACAGCAUCAAAUAAUGGAAAUAAUGGACCUUAUUGCACAAAUCAAAAACAAAAUUUCAGCAUUACUACUUUAUUGGUUAUAUCAAUAAAAGAAAUUGAGUUUAUCAGUCUAGAUCCUACAAGCAAGCAGAUCUAUCACAUAAUUUUAAAUGAAGAUUUAUCUAUUAUAGUAAUUUAUUCUAAUAACGAAAAAAAAACUUUGGAUCAAAAAAUAUUUUCUUUUGAUGAGGUUUAUGAAUAUUAAAGUCUGUUGAAGUUUGGCCAUUAUGUGUUGGUAUACAAUUUAUUUAUGAUGUUACAGUAGUUAAACCAUCCGAGUACAAAACAUGUUUAAAAUCCACUAUUCUUAAUGAAUGGAAACUACCAACUUGAGAGGAAGCUAAGAGAAAGGUUCUAUUGGGUGGACUACAAGGAAAAGGGAUAUACAUGAGGAUCU
rnacentral:lncRNA from 1 species